rnacentral:rRNA from 1 species
GACGAACGCUGGCGGCGUGCUUAACACAUGCAAGUCGUACGGUAAGGCCCUUUCGGGGGUACACGAGUGGCGAACGGGUGAGUAACACGCGAGUAACCUGCCCACAACUCCGGGAUAACGCUAGGAAACUGGGGUUAAUACUGGAUAUGUGCUCCUGCUGCCUGUUGGGGGUUGGAAAGCUCCGGCGGUUGUGGAUGGACUUGCGGCCUAGCCGCAUGGUGGUGUGGUAGCGGGCUACCAAGGCGGCGGCGGGUAGCCGGAGUGGGAGGGAGACCAGCCACAGUCAGACUGGGACAGAGCCCAGACCCCGACGCGUGGGGGAGGUAGCAGUGGGUGAUAAUGGGCAAUGGGCGAAAGGCUGAAACGCCGAGGGCGCGUGAACGAUGAAGGGGUUAGGAUCCGCAUUCAGUUGGAACGGGGAUGAUUAUGACGGUACCUGGAGAAGAAGCUCCGGCUAACUACGUG